GUCGAGAAUUUUUCACAAUGGGCGCAAGCCUGAUGGAGCGACGCCGCGUGGGGGAUGAAUGGCUUCGGCCCGUAAACCCCUGUCAAUCGGGAGCAAGGCGUCCGGCCUAAUACGUCGGACGUUGAUAGUACCGGAAGAGGAAGGGACGGCUAACUCUGUGCCAGCAGCCGCGGUAAUACAGAGGUCCCAAGCGUUGUUCGGAUUCACUGGGCGUAAAGGGUGCGUAGGCGGCCGGGUCAGUCUGAUGUGAAAUCUCGGAGCUCAACUCCGAAACGGCAUUGGAUACUAUUCGGCUGGAGGUUGGGAGGGGGGACUGGAAUUCUCGGUGUAGCAGUGAAAUGCGUAGAUAUCGAGAGGAACACCAGUGGCGAAGGCGAGUCCCUGGACCAAUCCUGACGCUGAGGCACGAAAGCCAGGGGAGCAAACGGGAUUAGAAACCCCUGUAGUCC
rnacentral:rRNA from 1 species